rnacentral:lncRNA from 1 species
CUGGAACUUAAAGAGGCGGUGUUUGUCCGAGAUGAUGGUUCAAUGCUCCUGCUCUGUCAAAAGGAAGAUGGUGUCAGAAGUGGGAUCCAAAGUAGCACUUCUAAUUACCCCCAGUAGUGCCUAGUGACCAAGCAAAGUAUGUUCCUGACCCAUUGUGUCCAUUGCUUUCUCACAGCAACUGGGGAUCAUGAAAAUUUGCAGCUUGGACUCUUGCUUCAGAGGAUAGAAUCCCCAAGCCUUGGCAGCUUCCACGUGGUGUUAAGCCUGUAAGUAAACAGACGUCAAGAACUGAGGUUUGGGAAAUGCUGCCUAGAUUUCAGAAAAUGUAUGGAAAUGCCUGGAUGGCCUGGCCAAAGUUUGCUGCAGGGGCAGAGCCCUCAUGGAGCAACUCUGCUAGGGCGGUGCAGAAGGGAAAUGUGGGGUCGGAGACUCCACACAGAGUCCCUACUGGGGCACUACCUGGUGGAGCUGUGAGAAGAGGGCCACAGUCUUCCAGACCCUAGGAUGGUGGAUGAACUGACAGCUUGCACCGUGUGCCUGGAAAAGCCACAAACACUCAAUGCCAGGCUGCGAAAGCAGCCAGGAGGGGGGCUAUACCUUGCAAAGCCACAAGGGUGAAGUUGCUCAAGACCAUGGGUAUCCACCUCUUGUAUCAGCAUGACCUGGAUGUGAAACAUGGAGUCAAAAGGAGAUCAUUUUGGAGCUUUAAGAUUUGACUGCCCUACUGGAUUUCAGACUUUCAUGGGACCUGUAGCCCCUUUGUUUUGGCCAACAUCUCCCAUUUACAAUGGCUGUAUUUAUAGAAUGCCUGUACCCCCACUGUAUCUAGGAAGUAAAUAAUUUGCUUUUGAUUUUACAGGUUCAUAGGCAGAAGGGACUUGCCUUGUCCCAGGUGAAACUUUGGACUGUGGACUUUUGAAUUAAUGCUGAAAUUUGCUGAGACUUUGGGGUUGGAGGUAAUUGAAUCAUGGGGGCAGGUCUUUCCCAUGCUGUUCUCAUGAUAGUGAGUAAGUCUCACAAGAACUAAUGGCUAAUGGUUAUUAUAAGGGGGAGUUUUCCCACACAAGCUUUUUUUUUUUUCCUUGCCUGCUGCCAUCCAUGUAAGAUGUGACUUGCUCCUCCUUGCCUUCUGCCAUGAUUGUGAGGCUUCCCCAGCCAUGUAGAACUGUAAGUCCCAUAAAAUCUUUCUUUUGUAAAUUGCCCAGUCUUGGGUAUGUCUUUAUCAGCAGAAUUAAAAUGGACAAAUACAUUGGUCUUAGGAUUCUUUAUCAUUGCUUUUCAUAAAUUUGAUUAUAUAUCCUUGUGUGGUUUCAUUUUUCUUUGUCUUUGCUUUUAUUGACGUUUUGGCUGUGUAGGUUUAGUUUUCAUAAAAUUUGGAAAAUUUGGGGCCUCUACUCUUCAAUUAUUUUUUCUGUUCCUCCACUCUCAAUCUGAGAAUCAAGUGUGAAUGUGUGACAAGUGGAGAUUAUUUGAAGUAUCUCAUAAUCUGGGAUUCCAGUGUACGUUAGAUUAUUUUAUAUUACUCAACAGCUGUUACACUAGAACACUGUUCUUAUUUUAGUCUUUUAUUCCCUCAGUGUUUCAUUUUACAUGCUAUUAUUCAUUCAGUGAAAUUUUCAUUUCAUAUACUGCAUGUUUUCAUCCCUAGAAGUUUUAUUUGGUUCUUUGUCAUAUCUCGUAUUUCUUGCCUCAUUUUUAUGUUGUUCUCUAAGCCCUCAGUCAUAUUUAAAAGAAUUGCUUUAAUGUACUUCUCUAAUCACUCCAUUACUAUGGCUGUUGUUCUGUUGGUCCCUCUUAAGUGAUUUAUCUCCUUCAGUCACAUUUCCUACUUUUGUGCAUAGCUAGUAUUUUCUAAUUGGAUGUUAAACACUGGGAGUGUUACAUUGUUGGAUGCUGAAGCUUACUUUUCUCUUUAAACAGUAAUAGACUUCCUUCCAUCAGCCAUUUUAGUUUUUGCAAGAUUAAUUUUAUGGUCUCAGGGCUUGUUUUUAGGAGGACGUUAUGAGCUCAACUUUGUCUCCUUCAUAUUUGUAUGCUGAAGCCCUAACAGUCCAGUUCCUCAGGAUGUAACUAUUUUUUUUAGGUAGGAGCUUUCAAAGACAUAAUUAAAUUAAAAGAGGCCAUCUAGGUAAGGCCUAGCCCAAUCUGGCUGGUGUCCUUGUAACAAGAGAUAAUUUGGACACCAGAGAGAAACUGAGGUUGCUCAUGAAUUGAAAAAAUAUCAUCUGCAGUCAUAGCACUAAAGUAACCAUCUACAAGCCAUAUAGACAGGCCUCAGAAGUAACCAAAUCUACUGACACCUUGAUUUUGGACUUCCAAUCUUAACCACUGUGAGAAAACAGAUGUUCUGUUUUUUAAGCCACCUGUGCUGUUUCUUUGUGACCAACCUAGCAAACUGUUAACAACAUCAGUCAGUUAAAGUAGCCUCUGCUCUAAGGAUAAUGCUUUAGCUCUCUAGUAAUCUCUGAUCCUGUGAGGUCACAACUAAAUGCUCUAGGUGUCCACCAUUGCUGGUUGGAACUCAGUCCUCUUCCAGCCUUGCGUGAGCUCUUGGAUUUGUUGAGCCUACAUCUCUCUCGCCAUUCUUUGCCUAAAUUUAUUUAGUUUUAUUCUAUGAAUGUAUAGCUCAGUGUUCCGUAAGAGUCUCAAAGGGAAUCAGUGCUGAUUUUCCAGUUUUUCUGCAUGGCUCUCUUGUUUGACAUUCCACCCUGAAAAUUCCAACUUCUUUACUCUGAAAAAUCUGUUCUUGGUUACCUCAAACUUGGUUGUUCUGCUUGUGUUCCCCUUUAUAGCUCUACUAUCUUUAGUGUGUCUCCAGACAUGAAUCAGGUUGAUUAUAAGACUGACAUAAAAUAUUUACCUUAAAUUAGGUAUCAUAGAUCUAUACUAUAUGUUGUCCAGUGUCUAGUAAGUGUUAUUUAAUAUAUUGUUUCAGUUUUAUAAUUGCUUAUCAUGGGAAGUUAAGUCCAAUUACUCGAUCACGGUCAAAGUGAAAGUUGUCUACAUAUUUUUGUUGUUGUAAAAUUAAUAAAUGCGUAUUGUGGACAUCUUAGGGAAUUCAGAAAAGCCAAGAAGCAAAAAUGAGCAAGUAGAGUUAUCAUUAGUUCUCUAACAUAUAGAUAAUUGAUAUGUUCACACCAGUUACACAAUUGUGUAUUCUCCUUUUUCUAAAAAUGCUAUUGUGAUUUUCAAAUGUCAAAGAUUUUCCAAUAAUGAAAAGCUUUUGAUCAAUAUUACCCUAUAAUUUAGCUAGCCUGAAUGUUAUUCACUAGUUUAUUCAUUAUUGACUAUUUAAUUCUAAUGAUGUUUACCCCAGAUUCCUCUACCCUGAUUACUCAAACAUUACAUCUGCUGUGAAGCAACUUGAAGAUGUAUUUAAGGUAACUAAUCAUUAACCUUAUGUUAGAAAAAUUAACCUAGCAUGACCAGGUAGCCCAGGCUAGUCACAGGAGCUCGUAAAGGCAUAAAAGAAGGCAUGACAGUCAGUCAGAAUGAUCUAACAGAAAGGGAGAAAUUUGAAGCGUGAGAGAGAUUCCCCAUCAUUGUUAAAGGAAAGAAGGACACAUAGAAAAGAAGACAAGGAAUAUGGGCAUCAUUAAGAAGCAAAGACCAGCCCCUUGUUGACAGAUGGAAGGUAAGUGGGUUCCUCAUUACCACAAGUGAAAGAAGCUGAAUCCCAGCAACUGAAUGAGCUUGGGAUCAGGUUCAUCCCUGGAGUCUCCAGAGAGGACCGUAGCCUUAAUUGGAGUUAUAAGCAAAAGCAAAAAGAACGUGGUAUAUUACACGUCAGUAAUUGUAGAGAUACUAAUCGGAAGUUAGGUGAUACAUUUAUUAUAGUUUUAAAUGUUUUGCCUACUUUAAUGCACGGAAAAGCCAAUGCUUAUAUUUUAGAUACUAGAGUGAAAAAAUCAGCAUAGCAGAUUUUGACUCUUGUGGGCAUUUUAUUUUUCUCACGUUUUCACACACAUUCAAUUUAUUCCAAAUUUAAGCUAAUAAUAGACAUAUUUUAGAUGAAAAAGAAGUGGAAACAGUGCUUGACUGUGAACAAAAGAUUAAAAUGAAAGAGCAAAAGAAAAAAAACAGCUGAACAGAAUAAGUAUGUGGGGUGACCUAUCUGUGCGGUACAAGUGUUGUUGCUUUUUAAAAAUUGCUUACAAUUAAAGUAAUAAACCUUCACUUUAAAAAAAACAUUUUAAAGAUUCUCUGGUCUACUUCACUUUAUUGCUAUAGAAAUUGGAAGA